GGGAAACCUGAGGAAGAAGAAGAAGAAAAGGGCUCGAAUGAGAUGAAGAAGGGUUGAAGAAAGAGGCAACCAUGACAAAAGCUUAGUAUAAUCUGCACAUCUUUGAAUUUUAAUUCGGUUUCAGCAACAUAAGAGCAAUUAAAAGGUUAGAUUCUAUUGUUGACAUUGAGUGUACUCUGUGACAACGAUGUGGUUGCGAGUGUUGGGCUGGCCUCACUACGAGAAAGAUGAUGGAAGUGCUGGACGAGUCCCACUACAUCAUACAUCUAAUAAAUGUUGGUUGUAUUGGGCAUGUCCAACACAACAUAGAUUUGUCAUGUUAGUUAAAAUGUUUAAUAUACUUGAUAUUUUUUGCUAGGUUUUAAUGACCUACUUGUUGAGUAUUUGAGAAAGUUGUUAUCGUUGCACUUUUAUAUUCAACGCUUUGAUUAAACAGAUUUAUAUGUUUAAGGUUUAUCAUGUGCUCAGAUUUCCAUAUUAAUAAUUUUAAAUUUAGUCA